GUGUCAUUAUAAUGUGCUUCAUAUAAAAUAAACAGAAGUUUCUUGCUCUCGUCUAUUUUUGCUUAGUUUGAAGAUCAGACUUCUGUCUCCUCCGUAACUUUGUUUUAUUAACCUCUGUUGUUUUCACGGGCCAGAUUCUCCCUCUCCAAACAGCUGUGGACCGACUCAAAUUGAAUUAUGGGAAUAUUUGUUCAGCUCACUGUCGAUAAGGCCGACGCAUUGAUUCGGUCCGUCCCUCCUUCCUCUGAUUUUAAUUUCCUGAGCACAUGAUACGGUAUCAAAGCCUCUUACAUGCAUUCUUCCUCAUGGAGUCGUGUCGGACGCUCAGAGGUGUCCGAGGAUCAGAACAUCUGUGGAAGUCAGACACAGAUAAUACAAACAACUCAGAAUUGUUUUAUCGCGGUUAACUUCGUGUUGAACACCUGAUCUUCUCAAACUGUAGCUGUAUGUAAAUGUAUGUAAAUGAGGAGGCGGAGCAUCACACGCUGCCCUGUGUAGAAUGUAUGUUUACUAGUGCUUUCAAAUUGAUUAAUCACAUCUAACAUAAAGUUUUGACUUCAGUGAACUCAACACAGCUUUACAGCAUCGCUGAUUGAUUGACAGUUGAGGUUAGAACACAACAGACCAAUCAGAACACGGCUUUCUUUGUACUGAAGUAAUUUAACAAGAUGUUUUCAUAUUUGUGUUGACACUUUUCAUUGCAAAGCAUGUUUCCAAACUUUUGUAGCACUUCGGUUUAACGCUUGCCGCUUAAACUCCGACUAGUUUUCAGACAAAACAAAAGCUCACUGGCAUAAUGUAUCCUGAUGUUUUAAACUCGCCGUUCUCAGAUCUGACAGACGAAUGGGCACAUGUGCAUUAAUGUACAUAAGACAUAAACCUGAGCAGGAAUAUUUACUCGGCCUGGAUAAUUUAUCUGAACUGUGCUAAACACGGAGCUGGAGAACAUAUCUAACACACGUCCAGACCUGUGCCAGCUUUAAACACUCUGAACGGAUCCUCCAUCUUAAAAGCAUCAUAUAUCGUCCAGAGCGGCGAGCGUUCGACUCUCAUCUGCACAUUCCUCCUGCUCACACAGAACAUAUUUAACCUCAGGAGUUUUGAUAAGGAUGUACAAAUCCUUCGCUUUUCAAGACAAAUAGGUGGUUUUGGUGCAGAGGAGCUUCACCCACACAUCCCUCAACCUACGGCUGGAUUCAGAGCAGAGACGACACGGAUUUGUUUAGUUUCAGCACGAUGGGGCUCUAUUAUACUGCUGUCACACAGCGUUAGACGGGAACAUCGGGCACUUUCAUGUGUGGAUUAACUGCUGCCCGGAGCUCGCCUCCGCUAAUCCAUUUCUCUCUCUAAUAUCCACUAGCAGGAGGAAGAAUGCUGACGCUCGAGGAAUCCAGACCAAGACCUCGACUGGACCUUCAGAAAUCUGAUCUUCAGGUUAUUAAGGAAAUGUCGGGCACGCUGCCCUGAUGGCGUGCUGCUCCAGUGAUCCCGCAGAUGGAGAGUUUAAUCCCUGGCCUCCGUUCUGUCGCUGGUGUGACCCGCUGUUGUCAGGGGUUCCCUGAUCUACCGGCCGGUGAUGUCAUCAUUCCGGUGCGUGAGACGGAAGCUCCGCUGAGCGUCUGUAAACGUCUGAUGUGAAACUGAUGUGUCAGGAGUUUGUAGAGCCCUAAAUACUGCUGACACAUCAGUUUCACAUCAGACCCUGCUGAAUCAGAGCCAGAGCAGAUUGUGCCACAUAAAACCUGCAUUUUUUUUUUUUUUUGCUGAUUUGCAAAAAUAUAUUUUAUAAUAUUACCCAAUUAGAUGAUGCUGAGUUGAGUAUUAUCAAUAAAACUAUCUGUCCGUUUUUUCACAAAAUAAGAACGAAGACAAGACAGUUCAUAGUGACCACGAGCAUCACAAAAGUAUCAUAACUGUAGUCCAUAUGACUUGUGUUUUAUAUUCCAGGUCUUCUGAAGUCAUGUGACACUUUAAACAGACGGUAAUUUCAUGUGUUAAUCAUCUUCACUGGUAAUCUGCUGAAGCUCUCAAAUCUCACGUUUAGGUUCAUUAAUGUCUUGUUUGCUUUUAUCUUAAUAACCAUAAUGGUACAUAUUUUUCUAAGGUAAACAGAAUCCAUCAGGAUUUGGUUGCAUCUUUAAAAUUGUUUUAUUAUACUGUAUUAUUGCUUAAUAUUUUUCUCUGCUCAUGUGGCCUUUGUGGCAUCAGUAGAAAAUCCAUUUAGAAGUGGAGAAAAUCACUGUGUGUGUGUGUGUGUCUUUGUCUCUCGCUGUGAACCUCAGGAAAUAACACUCGUCUGUUUCAGUUGUUUUUCCCACCCUGGUUUCCUGAGCUUGAAUAAUGUCGUGUGUCCAUGCGAGACAUAUAUGUAUAUAAACAGAUCAUACUGAUUUCAUGGCAGAAAUUGAGUUUCAGAUCUCAUCCCUCAUCAAACACGUUGGGAUUUGUUUGUGACCGCAUGCUGAAGCCCAUCUGCUGUCUGAUGGUCAGUCUCAGAGAUCCGUCUGAUCCGUUCGUCCUGAAGCGUCACAGUAACACUGACCCAAAAAUCAUCAGAACAGCUCAGAUCCUGCUGAAGUUCAGGACUGACGUGUGUCGCUCUCCGCCGCUCUGUGACUCUUGGCUUCAGACUCGUGCUCUCGUAAUAUUUUCCAGAUGAGCUCUGAAACAAACUUCACGCUCAUGUUUUCACGAGCGCCGCUGCCAAACACUCAGAAUAACAACAAACACCGUUAUUAGAUGAACAGCCACAGAUUCUCCUGUUUGUAUUCCUUAUUUUCCCAUCUUUCCCAUUUUUCUGCAGUACUCUCUGAGUAAGUUUCUCAGGGAAAGGAAAAUACUGGAGCAGUGCAUUAAACAGGAAUCGUAAUUUAACACACACACAUUUAUUUAUUUAUUUUUUUCAGCACAUGUUCUCGUUUUUGAAAUAUUUCCAGAAGUCAUGAGUGAGUGAUCACAUGAGUGUUAUCUGGUGUUUUAUGAUGGUUUUGUGUCGUAGGGAGUGUUUGGGAGUUUAAAGAGGCGAGAUGAAUUGACAUUGGGUUCAUUUAUUUGUCUUUACACUGAGCAAAUAUUAUUUCUUUGGGCUCUGAUGCUGCAAACAUCAAUUCUCCAUGACGACUUCUAAAAAUAUCUUCCUUUUGUGUAUAACAUCACAUCAGUGUUAAGAGUAAGCUUCUAGGAUUUGACAAGGGAGCCUUUUUAGGACAGAAUGAGUCUUUGCGUUGAAAUGGAAAGUUUUCUGUUGCUUUAUUGUGCAUUAGAUGAAAGAUCUCAGAUUAAGGAACAAAUGAUGUUCUUCCCAUGAAAUACAGAAAUAUGGAAAUGUGCUUGGCAGGAGCGCAGGAGUCAAAUCCAGAGUUUAAUCUCAUUAAAGAUAAAACCUGUGACGGAUAUAUAACAACACCAGCUGAACUCUUUGUAAAUGUUGGAGGAAAGUCAUUUAAAAUGAAUGUUAUUCUUGGUUUAAGAUGUUUGCGAUUGUAAUUACCAGUCAAUCUUCGUGCAUCAGCGCCACUAGAGGCACAAAAACACAAUCAGCUUUAAAGUAGUCAUGAAAGUGAAGUUGAGCUGGUCUUUUCUUCUCUAUUGUGCCGUAUAUCUGAGUAAAACGCUUCUCAAACAAGAACAAAUGUAGGGCGGGGCUUGAUUUUGUCUGUGGGGAAUUGAUUGGAUGUUGUGGUUUGCUAUUGGUGGAUCUCAUGUGAUUGACAGGAUGCCCCGCCCUCGUCAUCAGAGAAGAGAAGAGAUGCUGCAAGAGGGAGGAGAAGAUAUUCUGAUUCAAGAUUACGAGACAUGAAUUUGAAAAGACAAUGAUGUGCAUCUAUAAAUAAUUUAUAAUAAAUGCUACAAUUUUGCAUUAAAAGCAAGUGUGAAUUUUGAUUUCAAGGUGAAUUUAGAUUCACACUCUGCUCCUCUAUCAGCACACAUGAUUCACUCUCACCCCGUCAACACUAACUGGGUUAGAGGAGAAACGGUUCAUUCCACGGAUAGUUUUGCUCUUUGUAGUCGCUCGGAGCGUCUCAUUGAGAGACUUUAAUGAGCACAAAUUACAGACGGGGAGGAAACAGAACAAGGUUCGGCCAGUUUGAAACUGCUGGAGCGUUUAAAAUACACUUAAAAAUAAAGCUUUCAAAAGAGGGUUUUUGGAGCAGAAGAAACAUUUCUUGUCCCCCAAAGAACCUUUCAGUGAUCAGUCCUUAAGAACCUUUUUUUUUUUUCUCAGUGUGAAGAAGAUUUUAAUCAUCUAAGAGCCUUUCUUCACUUUUGUGCAACAAAAAGGUUCAGUGGAUGUUAAAGGUUCUUCAUGGAACCAUCAAUGCCAAUAAAUAAUCUUUAUUUUUAAUACUGUAUAUACAGAAGAUUUUUUUAUGUCAUUGGUGUGUUUUUCAUAUAAAAAUGUGAGUUAUUUUGAAUUUACAUAAAAGUAAUUUUCAGACCAUCAAUUUCCCCAACUAGUCAUCAUCUGGAUGAUUUUAUAUAGCGAACAAUGUUACUGACUUACAAGUUCCCAGCAUGCAUUGCAGCAUGAAUAAAUGAUGCAGCUGUU